UGGGGAAUAUUGCACAAUGGGGAAACCCUGAUGCAGCGACGCCGCGUGAACGAAGAAGGUAUUCGUAUCGUAAAGUUCUGUCCUAUGGGAAGAUAAUGACAGUACCAUAGAAGAAAGCUCCGGCUAAAUACGUGCCAGCAGCCGCGGUAAUACGUAUGGAGCGAGCGUUGUCCGGAAUUAUUGGGCGUAAAGGGUACGCAGGCGGUCUAAUAAGUCGAAUGUUAAAGAUCGGGGCUCAACCCCGCAAAGCAUUGGAAACUGAUAAACUUGAGUAGUGGAGAAGAAAGUGGAAUUCCUAGUGUAGUGGUGAAACACGUAUAUAUUAGGAGGAAUACCAGUAGCGAAGGCGACUUUCUGGACACAAACUGACGCUGAGGUACGAAAGCGUGGGGAGCAAACAGG
rnacentral:rRNA from 1 species